GAUGAAGAACGUAGCGAAAUGCGAUAAGUAAUGUGAAUUGCAGAAUUCAGUGAAUCAUCGAAUCUUUGAACGCACAUUGCGCCCGUCAGUAUUCUGGCGGGCAUGCCUGUUCGAGCGUCAUUACGCCCCUCAAGUCCCCUGUGGACUUGGUGUUGGGGAUCGGCGAGGCUGGUUUUCCAGCACAGCCGUCCCUUUAAUUAAUUGGCGGUCUCGCCGUGGCCCUCCUCUGCGCAGUAGUAAAACACUCGCAACAGGAGCCCGGCGCGGUCCACUGCCGUAAAACCCCCCAACUUUUUAUAGUUGACCUCGAAUCAGGUAGGACUACCCGCUGAACUUAAGCAUAUCAAUAAGCGGAGGA
rnacentral:misc_RNA from 1 species